UACGAAGGGGGCUAGCGUUGUUCGGAAUCACUGGGCGUAAAGCGCACGCAGGCGGAUUGAUAAGUCAGAGGUGAAAUCCCGGAGCUCAACUUCGGAAUUGCCUUUGAUACUGUCAAUCUCGAGUCCGGGAGAGGUGAGUGGAAUUCCUAGUGUAGAGGUGAAAUUCGUAGAUAUUAGGAAGAACACCAGUGGCGAAGGCGGCUCACUGGCCCGGUACUGACGCUCAUGUGCGAAAGCGUGGGGAGCAAACAGG
rnacentral:rRNA from 1 species